UACGGAGGAUGCGAGCGUUAUCCGGAUUUAUUGGGUUUAAAGGGAGCGUAGGCCGGCUUUUAAGUCAGCUGUGAAAGUCCGCGGCUCAACCGUGGAAUUGCAGUUGAAACUGGAGGCCUUGAGUGCACACAGGGAUGCCGGAAUUCAUGGUGUAGCGGUGAAAUGCGUAGAUAUUAGGAAGAACACCAGUGGCGAAGGCGGGUUACUGGACGACAACUGACGGUGAGGCGCGAAAGCGUGGGGAGCAAACAGG
rnacentral:rRNA from 1 species